rnacentral:lncRNA from 1 species
UCUUGCCCCAUGUCCCUUGGUGACUCCACCAAGAUGCCCUCCUACUAGCUUUCUUGCCUUCCUUGAUUAAUCCCUUUGUGUAAAGCUGAAAAAGCAGGUUCUUGCUGUCAGUUGCUUUAAGAAAUGAGAUUGAUUUGUUCUCUAUUGAAAAUUAAAAAUAACAAACAAAAAAUCCAGCCGUUUGUACUACACAUCUUAAAUAUAUCUGGCUUUGAACUCAUCAUCAAGAAUACGCUGGGAGAGAGCAAUCUGAGGGGAAAAAAUACUGUUUUAAUAAUUCUCUUUCUAUCAGAUAGUAUUAACUAUUCUGUUUCUUUAAUGGGAAGGAUAAGUCCUUGGGUCCCAAAAGAAGUAAGCUUCAAGACAUGUUGCUUGAUCCUGUCAGAUGCUGCCAAGGUGUGAUGUAAAUGGAUGAUGAGAACAUAUGAAUGAAUAAUGGGUCAAAACUUGAACUUUCAGUUUGGGGAAAUAAGUCUGUUUUUCCUUAUUUUGAAGAGAGAAGCUGCAGAAAGGGGGAAGAGCAGUAACAGAAACAUGUGGCAUCCAGUGAUCUCAAUGGGAGGAGCCUGGAGGAUGCGAGCUCCAGUUUCAGAAGAGAGAAGAGAGACCCUUUUGACAAGCUGCAGCCCUUCUCCAGCCAGACAAAAUGAGUGGUGUUGGAGUCCUGCAGGCUGGCUCUGGGUCUUACCCUGGGACAGGAAAAUGUGGAUGGAAAUGGGACCUGCAGAUCCUGUGCAGGUAGAGCUCAGGUCUCUUACUUUGAACUCUCAGGGAAAAUAAUGGUAAUGAAUGCUGAUUUUGCUCUCGGAAAAUCCUUUUUUCUGACAAAACUGUUAAAAGCUGAUUACAGCUUUGCCUCGCUUCAUACCCUCAAAUGACCCCCAGCCACCCCAUCAAAUUAGAACUGCAUUAAUAACUCUGCAGGUGUGGUGUAACUUUUGGCUGGCUGUCUUUAAAGAUGGAAAAAUUGAUUGAAGGUAGUGGAUCAAAGGCUGAGGGGAGAAUAUAUUUUACUGAACUUAGGAAGUUAUAUAUUGCUCCCAGGGGAAGAGGCUGCCAAUCCUAAUUUAUUUGUCUUCUAAUUCCUGCAGUUCUAAAUUUUCUAUGACAAAUAGUUUCAUUUAAUUGUGUCACCUCUGGCUUGUGUAUACCACAAAAAGGAACUUUUUGUCUUACCAGUGGGUAACAAAGGGGUAAGAGCUUUGAGUGAUAAUGUCAGGGGAGCUUGCAAAGGCACACAAACUAUGGGAGGUCAUGCUUUAUAUUAGGGUGAAAUUAUACUAAAUGGGAGCAGAGGCUUGUAAUUUUAGAGAGAAUUUCUUUCCAAUCAGCAUUGCACAUUUACUGUUGAAUUUAGCUACGCUGUUCCAAGACUUUACAUGGUUUUCUGAACUCAAGAAUAGUUGCUUUCAAUAAAAAGGGAAAUAAUAACUUUGGAGAUUAAUUG